GACGAACGCUGGCGGCGUGCUUAACACAUGCAAGUCGAACGAGUGGCGAACGGGUGAGUAAUACGUGAGUAACCUGCCCUCUUUUUGGGAUAAGCCUUGGAAACGGGGUCUAAUACCGGAUAAAGGGGGAUGGGCACGCGUCCUAUCAGCUUGUUGGUGGGGUGAUGGCCUACCAAGGCGGUGACCGGUAGCCGGCCUGAGAGGGUGACGGGCAACAUUAGGGCUAAGAUACGGCCCGGAAUGGUACGGGAGGAGGCAGGGGGGGAUAUUGCACAAGGGGCGAAAGCCUGAGGCAGCGACGCCGCGUGGGGGAUGAAAGCUUUUGGGUUGUAAACCUCUUUCGCGAGCGAACGGGUAGGUGGAGAAGAAGCGCCGGCUAACUACGUGCCAGCCGCCGCGGUAAUAC
rnacentral:rRNA from 1 species